AUUGAACGCUGGCGGCAGGCCUAACACAUGCAAGUCGAGCGGAGCGGCGGACGGGUGAGUAAUGCCUAGGAAUCUGCCUGGUAGUGGGGGAUAACGUCCGGAAACGGGCGCUAAUACAGCAUACUAUCAGAUGAGCCUAGGUCGGGUUAGCUAGUUGGUGUGGUAACGGCCUACCAAGGCGACGAGCCGUAACUGGUCUGAGAGGAUGAUCAGUCACACUGGAACUGAGACACGGUCCAGACCCGUACUGGAAGCAGGAGUGGGGAAUGUUGGAAUAUGGGAGAAAGCCGGAUCCAGCCAUGCCGCGUGUGUGAAGAAGGUCUUCGUAUUGUAAAGCAAUUUAAGUUGGGAGGCGUUACCAACAGAAUAAGCACCGGCUAACUUCGUGCCAGCAGCCGCGGUAAUUC
rnacentral:rRNA from 1 species